rnacentral:lncRNA from 1 species
ACUGAAUAGCAUCUGGGUAUUCAUUUUGAGCUACUAAAGAAUGGGCUAGAGUGGUGAAAGCUGCUCUAAAUUCUGCGUUAGAGACAUGCUCAUCCAGGGGAUCUGCCUGAAUGGGCGGAAGUGCUGGCAGGUUUCCAGUUCUUCUUCUGUUAGUCUUUUUGGGAGGCAUAUUCUAUAAAAAUAAGGGAAACUUGGAUUACUUAG